AAUAGAUACCCUGGUAGUCCACGCCGUAAACGGUGAGUGCUAAGUGUUAGGGGGUUUCCGCCCCUUAGUGCUGCAGCUAACGCAUUAAGCACUCCGCCUGGGGAGUACGGUCGCAAGACUGAAACUCAAAGGAAUUGACGGGGGCCCGCACAAGCGGUGGAGCAUGUGGUUUAAUUCGAAGCAACGCGAAGAACCUUACCAGGUCUUGACAUCCCGUUGACCACUGUAGAGAUAUAGUUUCCCCUUCGGGGGCAACGGUGACAGGUGGUGCAUGGUUGUCGUCAGCUCGUGUCGUGAGAUGUUGGGUUAAGUCCCGCAACGAGCGCAACCCUUGAUCUUAGUUGCCAUCAUUUAGUUGGGCACUCUAAGGUGACUGCCGGUGACAAACCGGAGGAAGGUGGGGAUGACGUCAAAUCAUCAUGCCCCUUAUGACCUGGGCUACACACGUGCUACAAUGGACGAUACAAACGGUUGCCAACUCGCGAGAGGGAGCUAAUCCGAUAAAGUCGUUCUCAGUUCGGAUUGUAGG
rnacentral:rRNA from 1 species